UACAGAGGUCUCAAGCGUUGUUCGGAUUCAUUGGGCGUAAAGGGUGCGUAGGCGGCGCGGUAAGUCGGGUGUGAAAUCUCGGAGCUUAACUCCGAAACUGCAUUCGAUACUGCGGUGCUUGAGGACUGGAGGGGAGACUGGAAUUCAUGGUGUAGCAGUGAAAUGCGUAGAGAUCAUGAGGAAGACCAGUGGCGAAGGCGGGUCUCUGGACAGUUCCUGACACUGAGACACGAAGGCCAGGGGAGCAAACGGG
rnacentral:rRNA from 1 species